UACGUAGGGUGCAAGCGUUGUCCGGAAUUAUUGGGCGUAAAGAGCUCGUAGGCGGUCUGUCGCGUCGGCUGUGAAAUCCCGAGGCUCAACCUCGGGUCUGCAGUCGAUACGGGCAAACUAGAGUAUUGCAGGGGAGACUGGAAUUCCUGGUGUAGCGGUGAAAUGCGCAGAUAUCAGGAAGAACACCCGUGGCUAAGGCGGUUCUCUAGUACGGUACUGACGCUGAGACGCGAAAGCGUGGGGAGCAAACAGG
rnacentral:rRNA from 1 species